rnacentral:rRNA from 1 species
AUUGAACGCUGGCGGCAGGCUUAACACAUGCAAGUCGAGCGGGGUGAUGGUGCUUGCACUAUCACUUAGCGGCGGACGGGUGAGUAAUGCUUAGGAAUCUGCCUAUUAGUGGGGGACAACAUCUCGAAAGGGAUGCUAAUACCGCAUACGUCCUACGGGAGAAAGCAGGGGAUCACUUGUGACCUUGCGCUAAUAGAUGAGCCUAAGUCGGAUUAGCUAGUUGGUGGGGUAAAGGCCUACCAAGGCGACGAUCUGUAGCGGGUCUGAGAGGAUGAUCCACCACACUGGGACUGAGACACGGCCCAGACUCCUACGGGAGGCAGCAGUGGGGAAUAUUGGACAAUGGGGGGAACCCUGUUCCAGCCAUGCCGCGUGUGUGAAGAAGGCCUUAUGGUUGUAAAGCACUUUAAGCGAGGAGGAGGCUCUUUUGGUUAAUACCCAAGAUGAGUGGACGUUACUCGCAGAAUAAGCACCGGCUAACUCUGUGCCAGCAGCCGCAGUAA